rnacentral:misc_RNA from 1 species
GAAAUGUGAUAAGUAAUGUGAAUUGCAGAAUUCAGUGAAUCAUCGAAUCUUUGAACGCACCUUGCGCUCUCUGGUAUUCCGGAGAGCAUGUCUGUUUGAGUGUCAUGAACUCUUCAACCUACCGGUUUCUAGUAAAUCGGAUUAGUGUUUGGAUUCUGAACGCCUGCUGGCCUUUAUUGGCGAAGCUCGUUCGUAAAUGAUUAGCAUCUCAUAUUCGAAAAUCGGAUUGACUCAGUGUAAUAGACUAUUCGCUGAGGACGCUCUUUCGGGAGUGGCCGAGUUUUGUAAAGUAGAAGCUUCUAAUUCUAUUAGUCAACUUUAGAUUAGACCUCAGAUCAGGCAGGAUUACCCGCUGAACUUAA